rnacentral:rRNA from 1 species
GACGGGUAACGGGGAAUCAGGGUUCGAUUCCGGAGAGGGAGCCCGAGAAACGGCUACCACUUCCAAGGAAGGCAGCAGGCGCGCAACUUACCCUAAUCUCGAUUCGAGGAGGUAGUGACAAGAAAUACCGAUGCGGGACCCUACGGGUGCCGCGUUCGGAAUGAGUACGAUUCGAACCACCUAACGAGGAACGAUCGGAGGGCAAGUCUGGUGCCAGCAGCCGCGGUAAUUCCAGCUCCAAUAGCGUACGUUAAAGUUGCUGCAGUUAAAAAGCUCGUAGUUGAACGUUCGGGUUCCGCGGGACGGGGCCGCCCCGCGAGGGACGGCGCCGCCCCGGGGCUCGUGAUAUCUCAUCUCGCCGCCCGUCGCGAGGCGGACGGAGGGAUGGAUGAGGUUACCUGGAAAAAAUCGGGGCGAUCUAGGCGGGCGAACCGUCGCCAACGAACGAUCGGACAUGGGAU